GGUCUUUCUCAGUCUCAUCUCUCGCCGAGCCUUAUUUCUCUCUCUCUCUCUCUCUCUCGAUCUCAUAUCUCGCCCGAGCCAUAUCUCUCUCUCUCGAUCACACCUUUUGCUACCCAUAGGUUGAGCAGAAGCCGGCGAAGACACGGCUGGCCGGCGAGGCGACCAGGCGAAGGCAAGGGUGAGCCGGAGCCAUCGACGAUGUGGUGGGCCACGGAGGUGAGCGCGGUGGCGAGACGAGGGCAAACGAAGACCGAGCCAGAGGCCAGAGCGGCACCGCGUAGGCGCUGCGCUGAAGGCGAUGGCAAGCGGACACACCAAGCCGAUGCGGCCCAACCGAUGAUGAUGAUCCACCGACGAGGCUUAGAAGGCCGACACGAAGAAUGAUUCAGCGGAACAAUCAAGCGUCACCAGCUGAAAGGAAAAGGGAAUUCAUCAGCAGCAUGGCAACAUUUACACGAGGGAAUGGAGAACGCAACAGGGGGGCAGCUUACAGCUAGGCUACAUUAAGAUAGCUAUACUCUGUUAUUACAGCUUACAACAGGGCCAAAAAUCAAAAUACAACUCAUGUCACAGGCCUAACGCUACGACUUCCACCGUACCCGCGUUCCGCAA